rnacentral:rRNA from 1 species
AUUGAACGCUGGCGGCAGGCCUAACACAUGCAAGUCGAACGCGUGGCAGAGGGGUGAGUAAUGUCUGGGAAACUGCCCGAUGGAGGGGGAUCAACAGUAGAAACGGUCUCUAAUACCGUAUACCCUCGGAUGUGCCCAGGUGGGUUUAGCUAGUAGGUGGGGUAAUGGCUCACCUAGGAGACGAUCCCUAGCUGGUCUGAGAGGGUGACCAGCCACACUGGAACUGAGACACGGUCCAGACUCCUACGGGAGGCAGCAGUGGGGAAUAUUGCACAAUGGGCGCAAGCCUGAUACAGCCAUGCCGCGUGUAUGAAGAAGGCCUUCGGGUUGUAAAGUACUUUCAGCGGGGAGGCGUUACCCGCAGAAGAAGCACCGGCUAACUCCGUGCCAGCAGCCGCGGUAAUUC